rnacentral:misc_RNA from 1 species
CCUCCCAUCGCCGGCACGCUGCCCACCAGGGCUACCUCUGAUUUGAGGGUUUGAGUGAUCGGAGAAAAUGAAGGAAUUGGUAGGGAGUCCAGGAGCAGUGAGUGGGCUAGUUCUGAGAAUGAGGCAAUGUGCAUUUGCUGCUGCUUCUAUUGGAAUUAUGGUCUCUGCCAGUGGCUUCACUAGCUACACUGCUUUCUGCUAUUUGAUUAAGUCAAUGGGGCUUCAAGCUCUGUGGAGCUUUGGACUUGCAUG